AGCAGCCGCGGUAAUUCCAGCUCCAAUAGCGUAUAUUAAAGUUGUUGCAGUUAAAAAGCUCGUAGUUGAAUUUCAGGCCUGGCUGGACGGUCCGCCCUUCGGGUGAGUACUGUCUGUGGUCGGGUCCUACCUUCUGGCGAAGCGUCAUGGCCUUAACCGGCCGUGGCGGGGAACCAGGACUUUUACUGUGAAGAAAUUAGAGUGUUCAAAGCAGGCAAUCGCUUGGAUACAUUAGCAUGGAAUAAUGGAAUAGGACAAUGGUUCUAUGUGUUGGUUUCUAGGACCGUUGUAAUGAUUAAUAGGGAUAGUUGGGGGCAUUAGUAUUCAAUUGUCAGAGGUGAAAUUCUUGGAUUUAUUGAAGACUAACUACUGCGAAAGCAUUUGCCAAGGAUGUUUUCAUUAAUCAAGGACGAAAGUUAGGGGAUCGAAGACGAUCAGAUACCGUCGUAGUCUUAACCAUAAACUAUGCCGACUAGGAAUCGGACGAAGUUAAUUUUUUAAUGACUCGUUCGGCACCUUACG
rnacentral:rRNA from 1 species